UACGAAGGGUGCAAGCGUUAACCGGAAUUACUGGGCGUAAAGGGUGCGUAGGCGGUUCGUUAAGUCUGUCGUGAAAUCCCCGGGCUCAACCUGGGAAUGGCGAUGGAUACUGGCUCGCUAGAGUGCGGUAGAGGAGAGUGGAAUUCCCGGUGUAGCAGUGAAAUGCGUAGAGAUCGGGAGGAACAUCAGUUGCGAAGGCGGCUCUCUGGACCAGCACUGACACUGAGGCACGAAAGCGUGGGGAGCAAACAGG
rnacentral:rRNA from 1 species